GAUGAACGCUCGCUACAGGCUUAACACAUGCAAGUCGAGGGGCAGCGGUAUCGAAAGCUUGCUUUCGGUAGCCGGCGACCGGCGCACGGGUGAGUAACGCGUAUCGAACCUGCCUCAUACUCGGGAAUAGCCUUGCGAAAGUAAGAUUAAUGCCCGGUGUUUUCAGAGUCCCGCAUGAGGCUUUGAACAAAGAUUUAUCGGUAUGAGAUGGCGAUGCGUCCCAUUAGCUAGUUGGCGGGGUAACGGCCCACCAAGGCAUCGAUGGGUAGGGGUUCUGAGAGGAAGGUCCCCCACAUUGGAACUGAGACACGGUCCAAACUCCUACGGGAGGCAGCAGUGAGGAAUAUUGGUCAAUGGGCGGAAGCCUGAACCAGCCAAGUAGCGUGCAGGAAGACGGCCCUCCGGGUUGUAAACUGCUUUUAGUUGGGAAUAAAACGGGGCUCGUGAGCCCCCUUGCAUGUACCAUCAGAAAAAGGACCGGCUAAUUCCGUG
rnacentral:rRNA from 1 species